CUGGGACAACCCUGAAGCAGCACAAGGCUACAGGAAGAGGAGUUGCAAUUAGGGCUGAAGAAGAAGAAGUGAUAAGCAGUCCUGCUUUGGCCUUGCCACCGCCAGUCCCUCACAGUUCUAUCAAGGCAGAGAACAACGUUCACACCACGAACCCCCCAAGACCUGAAAGGCCACCAAAGCUGCUCUUUCUAGGAUGCUUUGUGACCACGACCACAGAUGGUGUAGGUGAUACAAAGAGCCCAGGCUAAGGUGUAGUAAAAAUGAGAUGCU